rnacentral:rRNA from 1 species
AAUCAACGCUGGCGGCGUGCCUAACACAUGCAAGUCGAACGCGAGAGGGGCUUCGGCCCCAAUUGAGUGGCGAACGGGUGAGUAACACGUGGGUGAUCUACCUUUGAGUGGGGGAUAACGUUCCGAAAGGAACGCUAAUACCGCAUGACGUCCCGGGUUUGAAGACCUGGAAACCAAAGCCGGGGACCGCAAGGCCUGGCGCUCGAGGAGGGGCCCGCGUCUGAUUAGCUAGUUGGCGGGGUAAUGGCCCACCAAGGCGACGAUCAGUAGCCGGCCUGAGAGGGCGGACGGCCACACUGGGACUGAGACACGGCCCAGACUCCUACGGGAGGCAGCAGUGGGGAAUUGUUCGCAAUGGGCGCAAGCCUGACGACGCAACGCCGCGUGGAGGAUGAAGGUCUUCGGAUUGUAAACUCCUGUUGAUCGGGACGAAAAGCUUCGACCUAACACGUCGAAGACUGACGGUACCGGUUGAGGAAGCCACGGCUAACUCUGCGCCAGCAGCCG